AUUUACUCUCUUUGCAAUAGCUUAUAUGAAUCAAUGACACAGCGUAACACAAAAACUCACAAUUCAGGAAAUUAGCUAAUGCCCAUUUGCUAUUUCGAUUGGAAAAGUGAAAACUCAUCGCAAAAUUGAAGAUAUACGAAUUUAACCCAACAAGUCCGCAAAAAAAGGUUGUCGAUUUCAAAACCAAAAAAAAAAGCGGAAGACAGAUUAUACGCAUCGAAAUCGA